AUACGUAGGGGGCGAGCGUUGUCCGGAAUGAUUGGGCGUAAAGGGCGCGUAGGCGGCGCGGUAAGUCUGGAGUGAAAGUCCUGCUUUAAAGGUGGGAAUUGCUUUGGAUACUGCCGCGCUUGAGUGCAGGAGAGGUUAUCGGAAUUCCCGGUGUAGCGGUGAAAUGCGUAGAGAUCGGGAGGAACACCAGUGGCGAAGGCGGGUAACUGGACUGCAACUGACGCUGAGGCGCGAAAGUGUGGGGAGCAAACAGGAUUAGAUACCCUGGUAGUCCACACUGUAAACGAUGAAUGCUAGGUGUAAGAGGUAUCGACCCCUUUUGUGCCGGAGUCAACGCAAUAAGCAUUCCGCCUGGGGAGUACGGCCGCAAGGUUGAAACUCAAAUGAAUUGACGGGG
rnacentral:rRNA from 1 species